UGCAACAGCCAUGUGAAGUCAGAUUGGGAA
rnacentral:piRNA from 2 species